rnacentral:rRNA from 1 species
AGCAGUCGCCGCGGGAAUACAGAGGGUGCAAGCGUUACUCGGAAUUACUGGGCGUAAAGCGUGCGUAGGUGGUGGUUUAAGUCCGUUGUGAAAGCCCUGGGCUCAACCUGGGAAUUGCAGUGGAUACUGGGUCACUAGAGUGUGGUAGAGGAUAGUGGAAUUUCCGGUGUAGCAGUGAAAUGCGUAGAGAUCGGAAGGAACAUCUGUGGCGAAGGCGACUAUCUGGGCCAACACUGACACUGAGGCACGAAAGCGUGGGGAGCAAACAGGAUUAGAUACCCCUGUAGUCCCUGUCUCUUAUAC